UGGGCGGCCGUGACACUGCUGGAGUGCGGGGGGGACCUCCAGACACCCGGGGGGUCCCUGCGCCUCCUCUACCGAGGGUCAGGGUUCGAUUUCGGGAGUUUCUCCAUGUACUGGAUCCGCCAGAGACCCAGGCAGGCUUUGGAAUACUUCGCAAGCAUCUACUACAGUGGUGCCAACACCUACUACGCGCCAUCGGUCAAGGGCCGGGUCACAAUUUCCAGGGACAACGGGCAGAGCUCUGUGACGCUGACCAUGAACAACCUCAAGGACGAGGAUUCCGCCGUUUAUUUCUGCGCCAAACGUAGCAGUUAUGAUUAUGUUUCUGCUGGUCCUGCUCCCUUCUCCUCCUCGCCCUUGGAGAGUUUGCCCAGAACCAUGCCCCAGUCCAACAACAAGCACUGA